UCCCUGAUGGUCUAGUGGUUAGGAAUUGGCGCUUUCACUGCUGCGGCCCAGGUUCCAUCCCUGGUCUGGGAA
rnacentral:tRNA from 1 species